UACAGAGGGUGCGAGCGUUGUCCGGAAUCACUGGGCGUAAAGGGCGCGUAGGCGGCUGGGUAAGCGUGUGGUGAAAGUCCGGGGCUCAACCCCGGAUCGGCCAUGCGAACUGUCCAGCUGGAGCACGGUAGAGGCACAUGGAAUUCCGGGUGUAGCGGUGGAAUGCGUAGAGAUCCGGAAGAACACCGGUGGCGAAGGCGGUGUGCUGGGCCGUAGCUGACGCUGAGGCGCGACAGCGUGGGGAG
rnacentral:rRNA from 1 species